rnacentral:snRNA from 1 species
AGUGUAGUAUCUGUUCUUAUCAGUUUAAUAUCUGAUACGUCCUCUAUCCGAGGACAAUAUAUUAAAUGGAUUUUUGGAACUAGGAGUUGGAAUAGGAGCUUGCUCCGUCCACUCCACGCAUCGACCUGGUAUUGCAGUACUUCCAGGAACGGUGC